GGCCAUUUCGUGGCUAAGAAAGAGCCCCGGUGCCUGGCAACAAAGAGUACCCCUGGCUCAGGCUCUCUACACAUUAAUUCCACAGGGGCUGAACCUGGGACAUCCGAGCACCGCGGCCUCCUUCGCCCUUCGAUUGGUAACUGUCACCCCGUUGGCCUACUGGUCAUUGAGAGUGGUGGUAGCAUUCCAGCCAGAUAGCAGGCAAGAUGGAAGGCAGAGAGGCGGGUGAUGGGGCACGGUCCUCGCCAGGGCUCUCAACUGUGGUGCACAUUGCUGGUGGGAUCCCAUUAUUUGCCCCGAGGUCACAAGAGUAGGCAGCCUGGAGAUACCCCCACCACUCACUGGCCAACUUUGCGCGGCUGUCCUCAACAAACACAACAACAACAACAAAGAGAUCAUAGCCAAGUAGGAAAGUCAAGACAAAGUUAAGGAUGACAGUAGUUGCCUUGCUUCUCUGUGUGCCUGCUUGUCAUUGUGCUCCAGUUUUGCUGGUACUUGCCGGAUGUUGCUUUGACUGAGGUCUGGCAGAGCCCCCAGGGCAUCUUAUAAGCCACUCCUCACCUGAUCAGACCCACUGGGCCAGGACCUCAGGAUGCUUCCCAAGGCUGGAUCUCCUAUCUCUACCAGUGGGACAACUGACUGGAACCUGGAAUUCAGUGCCGUCCUUCACACCAUCAGGAGGAGAAUGAUCUAUGAUUGGCUGGUGAGCACAUGCGUGUGAGAUCAAGGCUUGAAUACAUGAGUGCUGUGGUGGUUCAAAUAUGCUUGGCCCAGGGGAAGUGGCACUAUUAGGAGGUGUGGCCUUGUUGGAGUAGGUCAAGAUGUAGAACUCUCAGCUCCUUCUCCAGCACCAAGUCUGCCUGGACACUGCCAUGCUUCCUGCCAUGAUGAUAAAGGACUGAACCUCUGACACUGUAAGCCAGCCCCGAUUAAAUGUUGUCCUUCAUAAGAGUUGUUUCAGCCAUGGUGUCUCUUCACAGCAAUGAAAACCUGUGCUGCCUAUGCUCAGAUAUGGUAGGACACCCUACAGGAAGGAAAUGUAACCAGGUUUAUACAUGUUUAGUGGAGGGCAGCAGCUCAGACCACAGGCUUAGGAGUUAGACUGCUAGG
rnacentral:lncRNA from 1 species